rnacentral:rRNA from 1 species
ACUCUACGGGGAGGCAGCAGUAGGGAAUCUUCCGCAAUGGGCGAAAGCCUGACGGAGCAACGCCGCGUGAGUGAUGAAGGUCUUCGGAUCGUAAAACUCUGUUAUUAGGGAAGAACAAACGUGUAAGUAACUGUGCACGUCUUGACGGUACCUAAUCAGAAAGCCACGGCUAACUACGUGCCAGCAGCCGCGGUAAUACGUAGGUGGCAAGCGUUAUCCGGAAUUAUUGGGCGUAAAGCGCGCGUAGGCGGUUUUUUAAGUCUGAUGUGAAAGCCCACGGCUCAACCGUGGAGGGUCAUUGGAAACUGGAAAACUUGAGUGCAGAAGAGGAAAGUGGAAUUCCAUGUGUAGCGGUGAAAUGCGCAGAGAUAUGGAGGAACACCAGUGGCGAAGGCGACUUUCUGGUCUGUAACUGACGCUGAUGUGCGAAAGCGUGGGGAUCAAACAGGAUUAGAUACCCUGGUAGGCGUAGU